rnacentral:rRNA from 1 species
ACUGAACCUUGAAAUUGGUUUCGGGUUUUAUUUGCGCAGCAUAGGUGGGAGGCUGGGACGUUAAUCUUACGGGAUUAAUCGAGCUGUCAGUGAGAUACCACUCUUAUAAAACUAGAACUCUAACCUUGUAUCGUUAGCCGAUCAGGGAACAGUUUCAGGCGGGCAGUUUGACUGGGGCGGUCGCCUCCUAAAAGGUAACGGAGGCGUACAAAGGUUUCCUCAGAUCGGUCAGAAAUCGAUCGAAGAGUGUAAAGGCAAAAGGAAGCUUGACUGUGAGACUUACAAGUCGAACAGAGACGAAAGUCGGUCUUAUUGAUCUGGCGAUAUUGAGUGGAAAAGUCGUCACUCCACGGAUAAAAGUUACUCUUCGGAUAACAGGCUGAA